CUCUCUCUGUCUAAGUUUCUCUCCAGGUUUUGUCCAGGGUUUUGUUCCAAGGAAACCUCAGAGUGUUUUGCUUCUCUUCCUUUUUCUGUUUGUUCUCCCUAUUUUAUAACCUGAUUUUCAUGGCUUUGUGGGCUCAAAUGAGAGAGGUCCAAGUCUGAGAUUUUUUCUUUUAUUUUUUUAUUUAUUUAUUUAAAAAAAAUCGUUUUUCUUUUUUUUCGUUUUUUUUUCUUUUCGUUCGUUUUUUUUUUCAAAACACGUGGGCUUCGCCUAGCGAGCAUGACAGCUCAUGAACAAACCUUUGCUCCUUCAAGAUUAACGUUUUGACUGACGAAUAGACCCCUAUUGGAAGUAACUCAAGUUUUUC
rnacentral:lncRNA from 1 species